CGCCAAGCCGUUUCCAUGCACCGCGGUAAUACCGGAAGUGCAGACGUGGGUGUGAUGUUCUGUGCGGAGAGCGCGGGCGGGUGAAUCUGCACGUCCUCAGUGAAAGCCAAGGGGGCAACCCAGGAAGGGAGCUGGAAACGAUGGAUCUCGAGUGCUGGAGAGGUAGGCGGAAGUCCCGGUGUAGAGGGGAAAGUCGUAGAUAUCUGGAGGAGCACCGGUGGCGAAGGCGGCCUACUGGACAGCGCCUGACACUGAGACGCGAAAGCGUGGGUAGCAAACAGGAUUAGAUACCCCGGUAGUC
rnacentral:rRNA from 1 species